UACAGAGGUCUCAAGCGUUGUUCGGAUUUCAUUGGGCGUAAAGGGGUGCGUAGGCGGCGCGGGUAAAGUCGGGGUGUGAAAAUCUUUGGGAGCUUUAACUCCGAAACUGCAUUCGAUACUGGCGUGCUUGAGGACUGGAGAGGAGACUGGAAUUCAUGGUGUAGCAGUGAAAAUGCGUAGAGAUCAUGAGGAAGACCAGUGGCGAAGGCGGGUCUCUGGACAGUUCCUGACACUGAGACACGAAGGCCAGGGGAGCAAACGGG
rnacentral:rRNA from 1 species